UUUGCGCCUCACUACACUAGCUCUUUCUCUUUUUUUGCCGCUCAAAUUCCCUCUUACUCGUUUCGUUGGGAGAGAACGACGAUGUGAACCUCGCACUGUUCUCCGAAGCAAUCGCAGUUUCUUUUGGAGCAUAUCGUGCUGUGAUAAUUUCUAGCCUGGAUUCUAAUUUAAACCUGUGCUUGUUUCGUUGCUGAGAUUUUGCAAGUGAUCGAAGAAAUUUCGCAGUCAUUAUUUGCUGCAGUCAUGGAUACUGAUGAGGAGUGUUCAAUUGUUCUUGAAUUAUCUGAAAGAGAUCCUUUCUUUGACAAAAAGAAGAAAUUACUACAAAGUAAGGGCUUUAGUCCCAAAGAACGGAUAUACCUCAAGAGCUCUUCAAAACCUGGCUGGAUGAAUGCUACUGUGGAGGUCUUACUUCAGAUUGCACGAAUCGUACAAUUAAAUGAGCUGGAACUUUAUUUUGCUGAAGAUGAUGUAUGCACGUCAAUGGAGUCUUACAGUCCCAGGAAUGAGCUGGAGGCUCUCAAUUCAAUUGUUUUGCUCACUGACAUAUCACUUUCUACUUGUACACAUCUGCAUACAAAUAUCUUGCAAGGGUUACGCCAAACAAUUCUUGAUUUAAUUUCUGAUUUUGGGGACAAAAACAGUGUGAAGGGAGUAGUUGAAAAAAACCACAGUUGUGACCAAGAAGAACGCCUGCUAGAAUGGGGUGAAAGCAAUGGUUUAAUGACACAGUUAAAAAUAGCUUAUAUUGAAGGAGCCAGUCGGGGUGCAAUAGCAAGGAAAGAUCUAAAAGUUGGAGACAUUGCUUUGGAAAUUCCCGUGUCCAUUAUCAUUUCCGAAGAGCUUGUGCAUGAAACCGAUAUGUAUGGUGUCUUAAAAGAGAUUGAUGGCAUAUCAUCUGAGACAAUAUUGCUAUUAUGGAGUAUGAAAGAAAAGUACAACUGUGAUUCAAAAUUCAAAAUUUACUUUGACACACUCCCAGAAAAAUUUAAUACAGGUUUGAGUUUCAGCAUUCAAGCAAUUACAAUGUUAGAUGGAACCUUGCUGUUGGAAGAGAUAAUGCAAGCAAGACAGCACUUGCAUGCUCAAUAUGAUGAGUUGUUCCCUGCUCUGUGCAAUAAUUUUCCUGAUAUAUUUCCACCAGAGCUGUACACAUGGGAGAAAUUUUUAUGGGCUUGUGAACUUUGGUACUCUAAUAGCAUGAAGAUCAUGUAUUCUGAUGGAAAGCUAAGAACAUGCUUGAUCCCUCUUGCUGGCUUUCUCAAUCAUUCACUAUGCCCACAUGUUAUGCACUAUGGCAAAGUGGAUCCCGCAACAAAUUCCCUGAAAUUUUGUCUAUCAAGACCAUGCAGAUCUGGAGAAGAAUGCUGCUUAAGCUACGGGAACUUCUCCAGCUCUCAUCUAAUUACCUUUUAUGGUUUCUUACCACAAGGAGACAACUCGUAUGAUGUUAUUCCGUUAGACAUUGACGGUUCUGACGUUGAUUCUAAUGAGGAUAUACCUGUGUCCAACUGGACGACUCACAUGGUGCGUGGUACUUGGCUCUCCAAGGAUCACAGGAUAUUCAAUUAUGGCCUUCCCUCUCCAUUAUUGGACCAUCUUAGGAGAUCUCGAAGUCCCAUGCUAAGAACAAAGACUUUUUUGCAAGGAAGCUUGGAAAAUGAGCUGGAAGUUCUUGAAAAUCUCAAAGAUAUCUUUGAUGAUAUGAUGGAAAAUAUGGGCAAGAUCGAUCUUGACGACAGAGAAAACUGCAGUUGGGAUGAAAAAUUGGCUAUGGAUUUUAAAGAUCUACAAAGACGAAUUGCCUGUUCUGUUUCCACUUCGUGUCACACAGGCAUGGACAUGUUGAAGAACGAACUAUGCAAGUGCAUGGCUGAGGACAUCCUAGGCUAAUUUUGAGCAUCUUGGAUCAUUGUGCCGCUAGGAAGACGGUCUUUUGGACCUUGUAGUGUAACGGUCAUUUUGUAUUAUUAAAAUACGUCAAGCUUUGCUGUCAUUGGCUAUGUGAACGAGAUUUUUUUUUUCAGGGAGAAGAAAGCAGUUGCAUGCGUAACUAUUGGCGCCACGUGUUCUUUUGAUAGUGCUAACUAAUUCAAAACCCACCAUCCAAAAUGCUUUAGAGGAAGAUUCGCCUAAAUAAAGGUAUGGUAUGUGCACUUGCAUUCCCUUUAAAAUAUGCGGUCAAGAAAGUGCUGAUAACUAUUAUAAUGAAAUUCAUCGUCAUGCAUAUUUAGCAUA